rnacentral:rRNA from 1 species
GGUCCUACGGGGCGCAGCAGUGAGGAAUAUUGGUCAAUGGCCGGAAGGCUGAACCAGCCAAGCCGCGUGAAGGACGAAGGUGCCAAGCAUUGUAAACUUCUUUUGUCAAGGGACAAAAUCAGGCUCGAGAGCCUGACCGAGGGUACUUGAAGAAAAAGCAUCGGCUAACUCCGUGCCAGCAGCCGCGGUAAUACGGAGGAUGCGAGCGUUAUCCGGAUUUAUUGGGUUUAAAGGGUGCGUAGGCGGGACGGUAAGUCAGCGGUAAAAAUGCGGAGCUCAACUCCGUCGAGCCGUUGAAACUGCCG